rnacentral:rRNA from 1 species
AAAGACUUGACGGUACUUCACACCAACCUAGAGGAGCCUGUCUAAUAACCGAUACCCCACGAUUAACCCAACCUAUUCUAGCCUAACAGUCUAUAUACCGCCGUCCCCAGCUUACCUUGUAAAAGAUAAUAAAGUGAGCAAAAUAGGCCCCCCUAACACGACAGGUCAAGGUGUAACUAAUGAAUGGGCAAAAGAUGGGCUACAUUUUCCUACAAUGAAAAUACGGAUAAACUAUGAAAUUAGAAACUGAAGGAGGAUUUAGCAGUAUGAUAAGCAUAAAACACUUAACAGAAACCAAUGAAAUGAAGUGCGUACACACCGCCCGUCAUCCCUGUAAACAAAUAUCAAACACUACAUUAAANUUACCCNCACCCAUGAAACAGGGCAAGUCGUAAC